GCUUAAAGGGUCCGUAGCUGGCUAAGUUAGUCCCCUGUUAAAUCCAACGAAUUAAUCGUUGGAUCGCGGGGGAUACUGCUUGGCUAGGGGACGAGAGAGGCAGACGGUAUUUCCGGGGUAGGGGUGAAAUCCUAUAAUCCCGGGAAGACCACCAGUGGCGAAGGCUGUCUGCUAGAACGCGCCCGACGGUGAGGGAUGAAAGCUGGGGGAGCGAACCGGAUUAGAUACCCGGGUAGUCCCAGCUGUAAACGAUGCAGGCUAGGUGUUUGGACGGCCACGUGCCGUUCUAGUGCCGCAGGGAAGCUGUUAAGCCUGCCGCCUGGGGAGUACGAUCGCAAGAUUGAAACUUAAAGGAAUUGGCGGGGGAGCACCACAAGGGGUGAAGCUUGCGGUUUAAUUGGAGUCAACGCCGGAAAUCUCACCGGGAGCGACAGCAGUGUGAAGGCCAGAUUAAAGGUCUUGCCAGACGAGCUGAGAGGAGGUGCAUGGCCGUCGCCAGUUCGUGCCGUGAGGUGUCCUGUUAAGUCAGGCAACGAUCGAGACCCGCGUCCUCUGUUGCUACUAGCCUUGUGCUGGGCACACUGAGGAGACCGCCACUGAUAAAGUGGAGGAAGGAGCGGGCCACGGCAGGUCAGUAUGCCCCGAAUCUCCCGGGCCACACGCGGGCUGCAAUGGCAGGUACAAUGAGUUCCGACCUCGAAAGGGGGAGGCAAUCUCGAAAGCCUGCCGUAGUUGGGAUCGAAGGCUGCAACCCGCCUUCGUGAACAUGGAAUCCCUAGUAAUCGCGUGUCAUCAGCGCGCGGUGAAUACGUCCCUGCUCCUUGCACACACCCCCCGUAAGGGCCGAAUC
rnacentral:rRNA from 1 species